GUGCAGUAGUCAGUCUCACGCAGGACACAGUAUGGACAUGAGGGUCCCUGCUCAACUCCUGGGGCUCCUGCUGCUCUGGCUCCCAGGUACCAGAUGUGACAUCCAGAUGACGCAGUCUCCAUCCUCCCUGUCUGCAUCUGUAGGAGACAGAGUCACCAUCACUUGCCGGGCGAGUCAGGACAUUAGAGGUUAUUUAGCCUGGUAUCAGCAGAAACCAGGGAAAACUCCUAGGCUCCUGAUCUAUGCUGCAUCUAGUUUGCAAACUGGGAUUCCCUCUCGGUUCAGUGGCAGUAGAUCUGGGACAGACUACACUCUCACCAUCAGCAGCCUGCAGUCUGAAGAUGUUGCAACUUAUUACUGUCAACAGCAUUACAGUACUCCUCCCACAGUGUUACAAGUCAUAACAUAAACCCCCAAGG